UACGUAGGGUGCAAGCGUUAAUCGGAAUUACUGGGCGUAAAGCGUGCGCAGGCGGUUUCGCAAGUCAGAUGUGAAAUCCCCGGGCUUAACCUGGGAACUGCAUUUGAAACUACGUGGCUAGAGUGUGUCAGAGGGGGGUAGAAUUCCACGUGUAGCAGUGAAAUGCGUAGAGAUGUGGAGGAAUACCGAUGGCGAAGGCAGCCAUCUGGGUCGACACUGACGCUCAUGCACGAAAGCGUGGGUAGCAAACAGG
rnacentral:rRNA from 1 species